GGUCGAUGAUGAUGAGGAAGAAGAUGGGAGGCAUCAUCUCUUCUUAAAGGCCAUUGGAAUCUGACCGACAUAACGCUUAGUUUAAAUCUAACCGUUAAAUUUAGAUCUUACGGUUCAGAUCUGUUGGGUGACGCUGACCGAUCUAGCUGCCCCGGAAAUCUGCCACGGAUGGCUCAGAUCUUCGUAGUUAUCCACGUGGAGUUAUUUUAGCCGUUUGUUCGUGAGGCGUCGUGUGUAUGUGUUAUUUUUGUAUUUUUUUAAUAAUUCCUACGAACUUUACAAAAAUUGAUGUGGAUUUUUAAAAUGAUUUUCCUUUUUUUGUGAGAGAGGCAAACUAGUCAUUUCUAUGUCUGAAUGGGUCCCACACUGACUUUUCAUUAUUUUUUGUUUUCUUUCGUUUCUUUAUUUUCGGAUUCGACUCUCUCAUUGGUCGCUUUUUAUUUUGCCAGGUCAGCGGUUGCCACGUGGAGACAGCUAGGAUCUCGGUUUCAUGAAUGCUCCUCGUAACUUUUGAAUCUUGCCCUUAAACUGGAUUACUCCUAGCUAAUUAAAGACUAAAUCAUAACUAAUUAAUUUGCUAUGAAAUAAGUAUAAAUUGCAAUGAGUUGACAAUUAAAUAUUCCGACCACAAACAAAACCCAAAAGAAAAAAAAACUCAUUUCUCAUCGCCGGGCGGUCACCGACUAGACGGCGGACGAAUUUAGGGCAACACCAGUUAGUCGGAAUGACGAAAAUACCCUUCUUGUUUAUGAACCCAACCAAACCCCCAAAUGGGCUUUUUCACUUUCAGAUCUCUGGGCUAGAGAACUGCUAAAAUAUUGAUUUCUCAUUUUUUUCUCAAAAAAAAACGAAUUUUGUUAUUUUCGAAAGGAAAAAAAAAUUGAGAGCGGUUAUUACCAGAAAAAGCAUGGUAUUGUGUGGAGCAGAACUUACAUCAUAAACUAAUCAGAAACUUUUAAUAAAUAAAUCUAGUUAAACUGGAAAAAAAGUGAAUGAAUUAAACAAAAUCUAAGUAAACUGAAUAAUUUCUCAGAAACAAAGAAGAAGACUAACAAAAGUAACAACAAAAGAGAAGAUAGAGAGGAGAAGAAAAGAAAGAGAAAGACAACUCAAGGCAAAAGAGUGAUCCAAACACACA